rnacentral:rRNA from 1 species
GACGAAGGAUGCAAGCGUUAUCCGGAUUCAUUGGGUUUAAAGGGAGCGUAGGUGGCCUUAUAAGUCAGCGGUGAAAUCUCUGGGCUUAACCCAGAAAUUGCCAUUGAUACUGUAGGGCUUGAGUACAGUUGCCGUUGGCGGAAUAUGACAUGUAGUGGUGAAAUACAUAGAGAUGUCAUAGAACACCGAUUGCGAAGGCAGCUAACGAAACUGUAACUGACACUGAGGCUCGAAAGUGCGGGGAUCAAACAGG